AUUGAACGCUGGCGGCAGGCCUAACACAUGCAAGUCGAGCGGAUGAAGGGAGCUUGCUCCUGGAUUCAGCGGCGGACGGGUGAGUAAUGCCUAGGAAUCUGCCUGGUAGUGGGGGAUAACGUCCGGAAACGGGCGCUAAUACCGCAUACGUCCUGAGGGAGAAAGUGGGGGAUCUUCGGACCUCACGCUAUCAGAUGAGCCUAGGUCGGAUUAGCUAGUUGGUGGGGUAAAGGCCUACCAAGGCGACGAUCCGUAACUGGUCUGAGAGGAUGAUCAGUCACACUGGAACUGAGACACGGUCCAGACUCCUACGGGAGGCAGCAGUGGGGAAUAUUGGACAAUGGGCGAAAGCCUGCUCCAGCCAUGCCGCGUGUGUGAAGAAGGUCUUCGGAUUGUAAAGCACUUUAAGUUGGGAGGAAGGGCAGUAAGUUAAUACCUUGCUGUUUUGACGUUACCAACAGAAUAAGCGCCGGCUAACUUCGUG
rnacentral:rRNA from 1 species